AGUUAGUGAUAACCAAAAGGCUUGUGCCCAUUAUUUACGAUCAAAAGGUUGCCCACAGAGCUGUGAAUGUAAUCCUUAUUAUACUUCUGGAGGUGCCACACGAAUAACGGUGAAGUGCCAAUCAUUGAAUACAAUUCCAAGCAAGCUGUCUUCUGAUACUGCUGUUUUAAUGCUUCAAGCAAAUGAAAUUAGCAGCAUCUCCAAAGGUGCAUUUGAAGAGAUGCCCAAUCUUC